GGAGGCGUCUGGGUUCCUGGUGGGCCCCGCGGUCUUCAACACCGACGAGGUCGAGCAUCUCGGCCUGGCGGGUUCGAUCCCCGUCCGCCUCCGCCA
rnacentral:tRNA from 1 species